AAGAUGUGACUUUUGAGCUGAAACUUGAAGAAUAAGGUUCUGAGAGCCCGGAAAUAUGGAUAGAAGUAUUCCAGCCUCAAUGAUGCAGGUGACGUACAAGAAGAAGCAGGCUGUCUCCACUAAGCAUCUGGGGCCCAGCUGCUGCCCUUUGCCACCACGGGGAGGCAGCAGACCAACACCCACAUGUGGAACACACUUGGCACCCUACAGUGACCUCGUGGGUGUAAUGGUCAGUGCUUCACUGCCUCUUCCAAAUCGCACGCAAAUUUCUCCUGUGGCUAACUCUAACCCAGAACCAGACGGUGAAGGGAAUUCUGGGAAAUCAGCUCCACCUUAGCUAAACAAAAAGCCGCUGUACCAGGUUUCAUCCUGUCAAUGUAUUUGUAGAUGCCUUUGAUUUUUCUUUAUAACACUAAAUACAGAAUAAUUCGAAUAUACAAGAGAAUAUAAAUACAGAGUCUUUCCAUGGUUUCCUUUAUGAAAUUACUAACUUUCUGUCAUCUUGAGUACCCAGUCAUCUUGGAUCAUUUCUUGCCAUGUGCUUAUUGGGAUGAAUUAAAACUACUGG
rnacentral:lncRNA from 1 species